GCUUCCGCAGAUCCACCCGUUGAAAACACGUGCUACCAUUAAAAAACACGCUCCAUAGAUAGAUAUUGCAGCUGAAAAAAGCAUGCUACUGGUUCGAAUCCACCCGUUGAAAAUAAAACAUGCUACUGUUAAUAAACACGCUCCAUAGAUAGAUAUUGCAGCUGAAAAAAGCAUGCUACCGUUAACAAAAACACGCUCCUAUUCCUUAACCUAUUAUAUAUAUGGCCAUUGAUUUAGAAGAAUAGCUCAUCCGCAAUGUUCUGUGUUUCCCUACGUACAUUGAUUCUGAAUGUACUAGCUAUGCGUACUUCUCUGGUUAUUGCUGCUUCAAGGCCAUAGUGAGCAUACAGAUGAAAGAUUUUAGGGAACUGAAUUUAUAAAUUCUUGGUAUUGGGGUGAAUUUGCCAUUUGGUGUGCCCUAUCUGCGGAGGAAUGUUGUCCGAGGGAGUGAUGCCUCCAACGCCUCAGAGGUCAUCCGCAUCACCAAUCAUGUGCGGAGGAAUGUUGACUAAUUUCGGAAAGGAGAACCAGUAUGUAUAUUAGCUUAUUAUGGUAGCCAUGGACCAACAAAAUUUGCAGAGGUAGAAGAAUGCUCAGCCAAUAUAAGGGAGGGCAGAAACCAUAUUACUGAAGCUUAAAUCUCUGAAAAUGGAAGCAUGUUGCAUGCAUUGUUGGAGAUGGUGUAGCUCCAGGAAGACAGCAAUGAUGUGGAUAAUAUAAAGCAGGCAUUUAGCAAAUGACUACUUAUGCUAAAAGUGGAGUGAAUUUCAAAAUAAAUUAAAAUUUGUUGUGAACUUGAAUUUAUAUAUAUUUAAUAGUAAUGUUAAUAUACAAAUUUUUUGUUUCGUUCACAUUGAUGUUAACAGUUUGAUUGUUGAAGUCAAAUUCAUUUCAGUGACUUAAUGAAUGUUUAGAGAGUUUUGUUUACAUUAGAUUCUGUUUUGUUGGUUUCUUUGUCCAUCAUUCUAUGCUGCUUUUUUUUUUUUUUUUUUCUUUCAUUCUUUUUUUGUUUGGCAUGGUCGUGCCGCCUUUGUUUUUAUUGUCUGUAAGUUUUACUCUAAUAUGUUUGGUAUGCAUUUUUCUUUUGUAUUUUUAUGUGUAGAUUGUUUUCAAAAAAACUUUUUUGGUAUUUUGCAUUUGUCUUUUUUUGUGGGUGGUGAUUUUUCAGGCAGCAGUGAUGAUGAGGAGGAGGAGGAGAAAUGAAGCAGAACUACAUAUCGCAAGCACCAGGAAAUGCAACAGGAGAGCAGCCACAUACUAAUCAAGUGUGCAACAUUAGUUAAUGUUUGGAUUUGGUUCAAGCAGUCGAUGUGGCAGAAGCAGUUGGCAUUCGUUGAUUACUAUAAUAAUAAAUACCUUUGCCAUGCCUGUAGAAUGAUGUCUAGAGUGCAAAGUGAUGCCUAGAGUUUCUCAAUUGUUAUUGAAGUCAAUGAAGAACAAAUUUUAAUUUUACUAUUGCACUUUUGUAUCAUUUUAUGAAAUCGUUCAACUUAUUUGUAAAUGGAUAUGUAAAUAGAUUUGUCGUUUAAUAAUUUUCUUUUUUUGGGAAGGGUU